CGGGUACUGCACAAAAGGAGCUCAGGGAGUGCCUGGGGUUGCUUUUGGCUUGGAGCGAGAGUGCAGCCAACAUGGGUGUCUUGGAGAGAGGGCAGCAGUUGUGGACUGAGAACCAAGUAACUCUUUCCAGAACAAAGGGGACAUGUCUUAAAGUACCUGGAAAGCUGUGAGUAAAGGUAGGAUAUUUGAGAGUCUGAUGGUGUCAUAGAAGGAAUGGUAUUUGAUCACUGCUUACUCUUGUUACCUCUGCUCACUUGUGCAACCACUGGCAUGCUCUAUCUUCUGAUGAAAUAAAAACCACACAAAAAGAACUCCAACCUGGAAUUACCUGAAUCUUGAGCUUAGACUCUCAAAAAAGCAACAAAAUUGAGCUGCUCCAGGGGUUGCAGGACUAAAGUCUGGUGUUCUAUAUUUGCCUUCUGUGUGAAUUAUCUGAGAUGGAAAGAUUUGUGAGCUGUUUUGUCACAUGGCCUGUCCUGAGCACUGAGAGGGUCUUUCUCUGCCACCCAUUUUCUUAUUCUUAUUGAAUUCAUAGAAACUUGAUGUCUUUGGACUGUGUCUUGAAAUUUUCCAGUAGGUACAAAGUUACUGGGGUAGACUGAUAUGCUUUAUACACAAAACAAGAUUGCAUAAAGUUUAUUCUCCUAGGAAAACAAAAAAACUGCAGUCCUAACAAUCUCUCUAGAGCAAGGCCCUGGCUUGCUGCAGUCUAGUGGCAGUCUUAUCACUUGAUUUCAGUGGGAUCCAUGUUUGGUUGCAGAACUUUAUACCUAGUUGGAGCAGUACAGUGCUUUGGAUUUGACAGAUGUGGAAGACAUUUAAUAACAUGACACAAGCUGGCUCAAUGCUUAAUUGAGUUCUUAUGUGAAAUCAGUGGUUUUCCUUUUCUUAUGCCCACAAAGACAACAUUAAUGAUGUGCAGUCAGACCCUGAUUUUUUUUACUCCUGUCUCACAAUAUGGACCACAAUGUACAGCAGAAGUGAGAACCUCUUGGACUAAAGUGACCUGGGUUUAGAUGUACUUUGUGACUGUUCAGAACAAGUUUUUCACAUGUACAAUGUUAAAUAUGAGUCUGUGUUGCAUAUUUACCUAUACUGUGGCUUGGAAAUUAAAAAUAUUGGAAGUAGCAGCAAGAGGCUUGAUUUAGGUCUCUCGAACAAAGGAAAACACCAAGUGCAGUUUGAAACAUUUGAGUAUUAAGGAUGGGGAUCAUAGAGAAGCUGAAGGACCUCAGAGCUGCAGCUUUCAGGAAUAGUUGUGUGGGGCCCAGCAGGCUGCUCUGCAUAGGUGGCUGGCAUCAGAUGCUUUUAGACAGGCAAAUAAGCCAGGAACCACUCAUGAUUCAUACUUUUGUAUACAGAGGUCUCAAGAUUAUAUUUGUAGCUCUCCUCACUCCCUUUGCUCAUAGCCAAUUCAAGAGUAAAGGA